rnacentral:rRNA from 1 species
UCACAGGAAACAGCUAUGACCAUGAUUACGCCAAGCUUGGUACCGAGCUCGGAUCCACUAGUAACGGCCGCCAGUGUGCUGGAAUUCGGCUUCCUACGGGAGGCAGCAGUGGGGAAUUUUCCGCAAUGGGCGAAAGCCUGACGGAGCAACGCCGCGUGAGGGAAGAAGGUCUUUGGAUUGUAAACCUCUUUUCUCAGGGAAGAAGUCAGUGACGGUACCUGAGGAAUCAGCAUCGGCUAACUCCGUGCCAGCAGCCGCGGUAAUAAGCCGAAUUCUGCAGAUAUCCAUCACACUGGCGGCCGCUCGAGCAUGCAU